GGCCAACAAUUUAGCUGGGUAUCCUAAUGCUCUAUGUCCCGGAAUCUCUGUUCAGUCUAUCUCACCAGAAUACCUUUGCAUCGGUGGAAUAUCAAGCGAUGUGUCUGAUCAUGGAACGUGUGGAGACUUCGCAGGCUGGGGUGGACGAGAGGAUGAUUCUAUAUUAACUCAUCAACCAUCUGGAUCCGCUCAUUCGCACAGGGAUUUGUUCUCGUCUUUACUCCUGUUUUAUCGUUGAUUGGAAAGCCUAACCAACUGUUUAGUUAGUAAGGAAGAAAACUGAAGAUUGAAAAUGAAAUGAACUGUAUUCAUCAAUAUUAUAAAAUGAUGAUUUUUUUGCUAUCAAAAUUACUUUUAUUACAAUGUAUCAUUGAUUGACCCAUAGGUUAUUUUUCUGAUCGUAUAGAACCUCCUUUAUUCGCCUUGUCAAUCGGUUAUAAAGAACGUUCAAUCGUACGUUAUGUUUUUUCAUAUUUUCAAUAGCUAUUUUUGUUUUAUUUAUGGCUCGUAACUCAAUGAAAUCGUUUAUUAUUAGCGAUUCGGGAAACAGGCACAAUGAAAUGAAAGCAAAUUCAAAAGUAUAUAUUUUUCAUGCGUUCGCCCAGAAUGGACAAAAUAACCGUGAAAUGACCAUUCGAUCUUUUUGCUCUUAAGUGGGCGUGCUUGACCUAUCGUUUAGACCAAAUUCUCUCACAAAACUAUUUGACGUCAAAACAUUUUCACAUUCAAUUUUUGGUUUAUUAAUUUUGUUUAUUCUUCAUUACAUGAUUUAGCAAUAACCAGACAAAAAUUUUUGAUAUAUGGGGUGUCCAUAAAGUUAUAAAAUUUUUUUAAAAUUGCAAAGGGAAUUUAUCGAUACCAUACAUUGUUUUGGCUCUCGCAGAUGUAUUGAAUGAAGUAAAAAUACUUAUAAAAAUACUUGUUGAAAAACAACAGAUCUGGUUAAGAUAUAUUGAGAACUGACUCCAUAACAAAAUUGAAAGUGUAAAGAAAUUUUAUGGACACUCGUAUAUUUCAUUGUAUUUUAUUAAAUAAUUGUUAAUUAAUAAUGGGCAGCUCCACAGUUCUAUCACCUCAAUAAUUUGUGUCUUUAUUGUUUUUUAGUGAUUUUAAUUGUAUUAUUGUUUUUCAUUGUUAAAAAUAAUUCCCAAAUUUUUUUCUUCGACUAUUAAAACUCAAUGAACUUUUGAGGUGAAACUUUAGGUUUUAGAGAUGCACACCGAGUCACGUGUGAAGAUUGUGUGCCCAAAGUUUGUGAAAGUUUCAGACUAUAGUUAUGAUUUAUUAUUUAAUGAUACGUUUUUUCACGGAGAUCUCAGAUCUUGCCUAGCCUCGGGUUUAGAAAUUUGGUUGGUAAUGUCGAACUGUUAAAAUACCUUUUCAAAAUUUGUAACACUUCAUUUAUCUCUUGUGCUAAGUGAAAGUGUGGAAAUUCCUCAUGAAAAUUUGAUUAUUACAUAUCAUGAUUGCUUCUUUAAGAAUAUUUAAAUAAUUGAAUCCGCUUUUUAUUAGCGCAUGUCUUUACAAUGUAUGCCUGUCUGCCAUCUGAGAAUCUUCAUUAAUAAUAUCUGAUGCACUGUGUUUUUUUAUCAAGUUUUUCGAAUCAUAGUUUUCUCUUGUCACUGGAAAA